rnacentral:rRNA from 1 species
UACGUAGGGCGCAAGCGUUAUCCGGAUUUAUUGGGCGUAAAGAGCUCGUAGGCGGUUUGUCGCGUCUGCCGUGAAAGUCCGGGGCUCAACUCCGGAUCUGCGGUGGGUACGGGCAGACUAGAGUGAUGUAGGGGAGACUGGAAUUCCUGGUGUAGCGGUGAAAUGCGCAGAUAUCGGGAGGAACACCGGUGGCGAAGGCGGUGCUCUGGGCCUUACCUGACGCUGAGGAGCGAAAGCGUGGGGAGCGAACAGG